GACUCUCACAGCAAGGUAACACACACACACACGUAUAGACUCUCACAGCAAGAUCCUGUAUGCGAGGGACGUGGACCAGAGGGGCCAUACGUUUGAGAAGUCUGUCCACAUGGGCAAGGAGUUCCAGAGACGAGCCAAAGCCACGAUCCUCAGAGCUGCUGUGCUGCGCAACCAGAUACAUGUCAAGGUGACCAGCUGUUACCACACGGCCCCAGUCUAGACCACAGCUGUUACCACACGGCCCCAGUCUAGACCACAGCUGUUACCACACGGCCCCAGUCUAGACCACAGCUGUUACCACACGGCCCCAGUCUAGACCACAGCUGUUACCACACGGCCCCAGUCUAGACCACAGCUGUUACCACACGGCCCCAGUCUAGACCACAGCUGUUACCACACGGCCCCGGUCUAGACCACAGCUGUUACCACACGGCCCCGGUCUAGACCACAGCUG